GAUGAAGAACGCAGCGAAAUGCGAUAAGUAGUGUGAAUUGCAGAAUUCAGUGAAUCAUCGAAUCUUUGAACGCACAUUGCACCUCUCGGUAUUCCGGGAGGUAUGCCUGUUCGAGCGUCAUUUGUACCCUCAAGCUCUGCUUGGUGUUGGGUGUUUGUUCCGCCUCUGUGUGUGAACUCGCCUCAAAACAAUUGGCAGCCGGCGUACUUGUUUCGGAGCGCAGCACAUUUUGCGAUCCAGAUCAACGUACAGCGGCAUCCAAGAAGCCUUAUUUAACGCUCUUGACCUCGGAUCAGGUAGGGAUACCCGCUGAACUUAAGCAUAUCAAUAAGCGGAGGA
rnacentral:misc_RNA from 1 species